CUCUCUCUCUUCUCUAGGCAUGUGCUCUGAGAAAAGGUCAUCUGAGGACAAAGUACCCGUCUGCAAGCCAGGAAGAGAGCCCUUGCCAGAAACUAAACCCCGCUGGAAACUUGAUUUUGCGCUUUCCAGCCUCUAGAACUAAUAUGUGAAAAACAUUUAAAUCAGAAAGUAAAUGACAGGAUGAUUUGCAAGACACAGGGAUGUAAAAUUAAAAAGCCUCUCGAGCUCCAAAGGGGGAUGCAUCAGGACGAUAAUUCCAAGAGUUCAAUGGUGAAUUUCCUUGGCUUCCACUGAGCUACCUGUUAACUUCAACAAGCACACUGGCCUGGAGACUACAUGAUGGUGUAUCAGUAAUGGUAAGAGCAUCCUUUUCCCUAGUAUUACUAGGUAAGUUGCUACCUACCUGAGAAGCAUCUUAUAUAUGGAUUACUAAUUUAGUUCCUUAUUUCUGGCUAUAAAAGGCAAUUGAAAUAUAGGCUUGCCAGAGAUUAAGGAGAAAAGUUAAUGGCCAGCCUCUACUUUUUCUUACUUUAGAAGUGAAAACAGUGGUUAUUACUAUUAUUAAUUACAACCAAAACAACCACAAAUUUAAGCAGCCUUCCAGACAACUUAAGGAGUAUUUUUAAAUAAUCAAUUUUACUUUAAAAUGUUUAAUUAAAAAGUUUAGAGAAGAA
ensembl:lncRNA LINC01339 long intergenic non-protein coding RNA 1339